GGUGCAUCAUCAUGACUGGUAACUCACCUGAGCUGGAAUUCAGUUCUUCAUUCUCGGAUUCGGCACCAUUUUGACUACCAUUACCAUGAAGAUUAUUCAUUGUUGCAAGUUUCAGUUUUUGUAA